rnacentral:lncRNA from 1 species
CGUUUUCGAGAGCGGAGAGAGAUUUCAUUGAGGUUCUUUGUGUGAAGCAGAUGGGGAGGACGAGGACGAUGAAGCUGCUUCUGUGUUCUCCGUUUCCAUUUUCUUGUUUUUUCUUUUUUAAUUCUUUUAUUAUUUAAUUUAUUUCAUUUUUAACACAAAAAUCGGAAAAAUGUAUAUGUUCUUAUUUUCUUUUAUUAUUAUUAUUUAUUUUUUAUUUAGCUUAAUUUGUUUUUAACAGAGAUAAUAAAAAACCAUAAAAAUGUUUAUUUUGUUUUUUUUAUUUUGUUAUAAAUUUGUCAGCCCAGUUCAUAUAUUUAUGGUAGUACUUCAGUAGCAUAUAACCCUGAGUGGUCUGGUGGAGAAGGGCAGUGUGUAUGUUCUUGAGUGGGGUGGGUUCAAUACUCAUGUGUGACCUUUUUUGGCAUUUUAUUUCUUUUAGCUAUAUUAUUUUUUCUUUUAGCAUUUUAGUUUCUUUUUAUGUUUAUGCCUUUAUUACACUCGUAUGUUCAUUUUGUUAAUAAUGUAAAGUUGUUGUAUUUUAAUUCAAAACCAUUUUAAAACUAUAAAAAUCAUGUUUUUCUCGAUUUAAUAUCGAGCCCAUUUUUUACACCCUUGUAAGUCGAUUGCUUUUUAAGCAUCGCCAUC